rfam:Aedes aegypti strain Liverpool supercont1.545 genomic scaffold, whole genome shotgun sequence.
UGCCCAGCAACUCCUAUCCCUACCUCCUCGUGGUACUGGCCCGGGUACGAGUAACCUUAGGGAAGAUCGGGUAACCAACCCCGGUGAGUGCUUUGGUCGUAUGCUGAUAGGGAAGG